rnacentral:rRNA from 1 species
GAUGGCGACCGGCGCACGGGUGAGUAACACGUAUCCAACCUGCCGUCUACUCUUGGACAGCCUUCUGAAAGGAAGAUUAAUACAAGAUGGCAUCAUGAGUCCGCAUGUUCACAUGAUUAAAGGUAUUCCGGUAGACGAUGGGGAUGCGUUCCAUUAGAUAGUAGGCGGGGUAACGGCCCACCUAGUCUUCGAUGGAUAGGGGUUCUGAGAGGAAGGUCCCCCACAUUGGAACUGAGACACGGUCCAAACUCCUACGGGAGGCAGCAGUGAGGAAUAUUGGUCAAUGGGCGCAGGCCUGAACCAGCCAAGUAGCGUGAAGGAUGACUGCCCUAUGGGUUGUAAACUUCUUUUAUAAAGGAAUAAAGUCGGGUAUGUAUACCCGUUUGCAUGUACUUUAUGAAUAAGGAUCGGCUAACUCCGUGCCAGCAGCCGCGGUAAUACGGAGGAUCCGAGCG